rnacentral:tRNA from 1 species
GGUGUAGCUCAGUGGUAGAGCUCUUGCCUUGCACGCAGAAGCCCCUGUGUUCGAUUCCCAGCACC